rnacentral:tRNA from 1 species
GGUAUAUAGCUCAGUUGGUAAAGUACUUGCUUUGCAUGCACAAGGCCCUGGGUUCGAUUCCCAGACCA